rnacentral:rRNA from 1 species
UGGGGAAUAUUGCACAAUGGGCGCAAGCCUGAUGCAGCCAUGCCGCGUGUAUGAAGAAGGCCUUCGGGUUGUAAAGUACUUUCAGCGAGGAGGAAGGCGUUGUAGUUAAUAACUGCAGCGAUUGACGUUACUCGCAGAAGAAGCACCGGCUAACUCCGUGCCAGCAGCCGCGGUAAUACGGAGGGUGCAAGCGUUAAUCGGAAUUACUGGGCGUAAAGCGCACGCAGGCGGUCUGUCAAGUCGGAUGUGAAAUCCCCGGGCUCAACCUGGGAACUGCAUUCGAAACUGGCAGGCUAGAGUCUUGUAGA